GAUCAGUGGCUACAGAACAACGCUGGCGGCAGGCCUAACACAUGCAAGUCGAACGCCCUAGCAAUAGGGAGUGGCAGACGGGUGAGUAACACGUGGGAACCUUCCCUAUAGUACGGAAUAGCUCAGGGAAACUUGAAGUAAUACCGUAUACGCCCGAGAGGGGAAAGAUUUAUCGCUAUAGGAUGGGCCCGCGUCGGAUUAGCUAGUUGGUGAGGUAAUGGCUCACCAAGGCGACGAUCCGUAGCUGGUUUGAGAGAACGACCAGCCACACUGGGACUGAGACACGGCCCAGACUCCUACGGGAGGCAGCAGUGGGGAAUAUUGGACAAUGGGCGCAAGCCUGAUCCAGCCCAUGCCGCGUGAGUGAUGAAGGCCUUAGGGUUGUAAAGCUCUUUUAGCAGGGAAGAUAAUGACUGUACCUGCAGAAUAAGCUCCGGCUAACUUCGUG
rnacentral:rRNA from 1 species